UUCUAUGGUCAAACCAUUCUGAACAGGCCUUCGAUCUCAUCUGUUCUAGGAACCUAAGCAGGGUUGGGCCUACUUAGUACUUCGGUAGGACACAAAAU
rnacentral:rRNA from 1 species